GAGUUUGAUCGUGGCUCAGAUUGAACGCUGGCGGUAUGCUUAACACAUGCAAGUCGAACGGUAACAGGAGAGAGCUUGCUCUUUUGCUGACGAGUGGCGGACGGGUGAGUAAUGCGUAGGAACCUGCCUAGUAGUGGGGACAACGUGUGGAAACGCACGUUAAUACCGCAUACGCCCUACGGGGGAAAGCGGGGGAUCUUCGGACCUCGCGCUAUUAGAUGAGCCUACGUUAGAUUAGCUAGUUGGUGGGUAAAGGCUACCAAGGCGACGAUCUAUAGCUGGUCUGAGAGGAUGAUCAGCCACACUGGGACUGAGACACGGCCCAGACUCCUACGGGAGGCAGCAGUGGGGAAUAUUGGACAAUGGGCGAAAGCCUGAUCCAGCAAUACCGCGUGUGUGAAGAAGGCCUGAGGUUGUAAAGCACUUUCAAUUGUGAAGAAAUAUUUAAGGUCAAUAACCUUAAAUUUUAGACGUUAACUUUAGAAGAAGACACCGGCUAACUACCGUGCCAGCAGCG
rnacentral:rRNA from 1 species